CCCUUGCCUGACUUGGUUCAUGGUGAUGGUGACGUGGUGUUUCCGAUAGGGAAUGGCGAGUCUAGCAAGGUGGGCAGUGGUGUCAUCCUAGAAGACAGUGGCGUCAGCACAAUGGAGGGGGCAGCAUUAGGUGGUGAUGGAUGAAGAGGAGAGGAGACUGUUGGUGAUAGGGGGCGCCUCCAUGAGAGAGUAGAGCGUGGGGCCUUGUUGCAGAGGGAGAUGCGAAGG
rnacentral:lncRNA from 1 species